rnacentral:rRNA from 1 species
UACGAAGGGGGCUAGCGUUGUUCGGAUUCACUGGGCGUAAAGCGCACGUAGGCGGCUCGUUAAGUCGGGGGUGAAAUCCUGGAGCUCAACUCCAGAACUGCCUUCGAUACUGGCGAUCUUGAGUCCGGAAGAGGUGAGUGGAACUCCUAGUGUAGAGGUGGAAUUCGUAGAUAUUAGGAAGAACACCAGUGGCGAAGGCGGCUCACUGGUCCGGUACUGACGCUGAGGUGCGAAAGCGUGGGGAGCAAACAGG